ensembl:lncRNA
ACCUUUUCACUGAUUUAAUCCAUUUUACAAAUGUAAUGCUAUGUCAAUUCACCAAAUAUUUAAAUGUUUUAUUUUCUUAUUUUGUCAGGGUGAACCCAGAGAAGCUGACAAGCGUGCAGCAGAAGCUGGAGGCCUCCUGGCCCAAGAGAAGGAAGAGAAGGAGCGAGCGCAGAGGUGUUUUGUCUCCUACCUGCGCUCCGUCUACCUACGAAGAACAAAGACGUCUUUGAUGUGUUCCAGCUCAAGCUCCAGGUGUACGCAGCGUGAGUAAGAUGGAGACGGGCCAUUUUGAGCUCUUAGCUGUCGACCGGUGCAGGAGCAUUUUCUUCAUAUGUUGUAAUUGUUCACGUCUUCCCAGUUCCCAAUACUGACAGACUGUAAGCCAGGCCACAAUAUGCCUGUUAUUUGUGCAUGUGAUGGUACUCAGACAGUACAUCAUUAUGUAGGAUGUCCGCAAGGGCUGUGGCGGUCAUGAAAUUUCGUCAGCUGGUGAUUGUCAAGCAAAUAACUGCCAGUCUCACGUUAAUUAAUAUAAACACAUUUAGCAUCUUUUGGCUUCUACAUGUAGCCUACGAGGCACUGAUGCAGACCUUUGGGAUAUCUACAUUUUAAUAAGUCUAGUAAAUCCAUUUAAUAUAACCUACACCCUCAUAAUAAAUCAAUUAUUUUAGACUGGUCUAAAGAAACAUGAUAUGAACAAAAUGUAGUAUAUUUCAGAAGAACACAUUAGCAUACUCUUGAGUUGCCCUGAUCUGGCUAUGCCAUAUGGCUGUGGGCUACAUUAGUUCAUUUAGCAGACAUGAUUUGCUUAGAAUUCUGUGGCAUUAUUUUAUAGUAUGAAGAAUACAAUUGAACAUAGCUGAAUAAAAUAAAAAGGAUGUUUUCUCCAAAUAAUUUCUGAGGGAGUGCACAAAUGCGGCUAUUCUGUGUUCAGCGGUUAACAAAGAAACAGGUCCUCCUAUAUUCUUAGUUUAGUUAUUUAUGCAACUUUAGUUGUGAUACAAAUGUUGGGCUAUACAGUGCAUUCGGAAAGUAUUUAGACCCCUUGACUUUUUCCACAUUUUGUUACGUUACAGCCUUAUUCUAAAAUUUAUGAUUUUUUUUCUAUCAAUCUAGUCACAAUACCCCAUAAUGACAAAGUGAAACAGGUUUUUAGAAAUGUUGGUAAAUUUAGUAACAAUAAAAAACGGAUACCUUAUUUACGUAAGUAUUCAGACCCUUUGCUUUGAGACUCAAAAUUGAGCUCUGGUGCGUCCUGUUUCCAUUGGUCAUCCUUGAUGUUUCUACAACUUGGAGUCCACCUGUUGUAAAUUCAAUUGAUUUGACAUGAUUUGGAAAGGCAGAUGCCUGUCUAUAUAAGGUCCCUCUGUUGACAGUGCAUGUCUGAGCAAAAACCGGUCGAAGGAAUUGUCCGUAGUGCUCCGAGACAGGAUUGUGUCGAGGCACAGAUCUGGGGAAGGGUACCAAAACAUUUCUGCAGCAUUUAAGGUCCCCAAGAACACCAUGGUCUCCAUCAUUCUUAAAUGGAGGAAGUUUGGAACCACUGAGACUCUUCCUAGAGCUGGCCGCCCGGCCAAACUGAGCAAUCGGGGGAGAAGGGCCUUGGUCAGGGAGGUGACCAAGAACCUGAUGGUCACUCUGACAGAGCUCUAGAGUUCCUCUGUGGAGAUGGGAGAACCUUUGUCAGAACAGAAAUUACAAGAUUAUAUUCUAAUACUGGUAUGGCGUCAAAUGGUGGAACAGAAUAGGGGGUUCUUAGAACACUUUCAUCUGUGUGUGUUCUACUGAGGAUGGGCCUCUGAUUUAAUGCUGACAGAAGCUUUACUGUGUCUUUGGGUCAUAAUCCUAACAAUACUGCAUUCCAUAGCAUGAGUUAAUGUUUCUGUACUGGGGUACCAAGGGGAGAUGGCUCCAGUAUUGAGUUGGGGGCCAGACUCUGGUUUAUUUACAAUGAGAUCAGUUUUUACAGCAGAUACUGUUUGCUGUGAAUUAUUACUAUCUUUCAUACGAAUCUUAACCUUGUGACCCAUUCCAUACAUCUGUUUGUCAUGAACAUCCAGGAGGAUGGACUUUGCUAUAAAAUGCUGUGGCUUAGUCCUUCUGGUUGGGCUCUCAACGAGUCACCUAUGGGGGGCUCGUUGACAAGCUCCAUUACUGCAG